rnacentral:rRNA from 1 species
GACGAACGCUGGCGGCGUGCUUAACACAUGCAAGUCGAGCGAGGCCCCUCCUUCGGGAGGGUGUCCUAGCGGCGAACGGGUGAGUAACACGUGGGCAACCUGCCCUCAGCUCUGGGAUAACUCCGGGAAACCGGGGCUAAUACCGGAUACGACCUCCACGGGCAUCUGCGGAGGUGGAAAGUUUUUCGGCUGAGGAUGGGCCCGCGGCCUAUCAGCUAGUUGGUGGGGUAGUGGCCCACCAAGGCGCCGACGGGUAGCCGGCCUGAGAGGGCGACCGGCCACACUGGGACUGAGACACGGCCCAGACUCCUACGGGAGGCAGCAGUGGGGAAUAUUGCGCAAUGGGCGAAAGCCUGACGCAGCGACGCCGCGUGAGGGACGAAGGCCUUCGGGUUGUAAACCUCUUUCAGCAGGGACGAAGCGAAAGUGACGGUACCUGCAGAAGAAGCACCGGCCAACUACGUG